AACGCGAAGAACCUUACCAAGUCUUGACAUCCCAUUGACAGGGACGUAACGGUCCUUUCCCUUCGGGGCAAUGGAGACAGGUGGUGCAUGGUUGUCGUCAGCUCGUGUCGUGAGAUGUUGGGUUAAGUCCCGCAACGAGCGCAACCCUUAUCCUUAGUAGCCAGCAUUUGAGGUGGGCACUCUAGGGAGACUGCCAGGGAUAACCUGGAGGAAGGUGGGGAUGACGUCAAAUCAUCAUGCCCCUUAUGAUUUGGGCUACACACGUGCUACAAUGGCGUAAACAAAGGGAGGCGAAGCCGUGAGGUGGAGCAAAUCCCAAAAAUAACGUCUCAGUUCGGAUUGUAGUCUGCAACUCGACUACAUGAAGCUGGAAUCGCUAGUAAUCGCGAAUCAGAAUGUCGCGGUGAAUACGUUCCCGGGUCUUGUACACACCG
rnacentral:rRNA from 1 species